GGGAGUUCUGUGAUUGGAGAGGAGAGGAGACAGGGAUGAGGCAGAGCAUGGGAUGGGGCUAUCAACAGAUGUAGAUUAUUCCUUGCACAAGAGAUGAUGAUGAGCUGUGAAUGAGUUCUGAGAGAUGGCUGGUGUUGUUGUUGCUCCCUCCCCUGCACUGCCUCUUCCCUGGCUCCCCUGCACACCUCUCUCUCUCUCUCUCUCUCUCUGUGU
rnacentral:pre_miRNA from 1 species